AGUGAACGCUGGCGGUAGGCCUAACACAUGCAAGUCGAACGGCAGCACAGUAAGAGCUUGCUCUUACGGGUGGCGAGUGGCGGACGGGUGAGGAAUACAUCGGAAUCUACUUUUUCGUGGGGGAUAACGUAGGGAAACUUACGCUAAUACCGCAUACGACCUACGGGUGAAAGCAUGGGAUCUUCGGACCUUGCGCGAUUGAAUGAGCCGAUGUCGGAUUAGCUAGUUGGCGGGGUAAAGGCCCACCAAGGCGACGCUCCGUAGCUGGUCUGAGAGGAUGAUCAGCCACACUGGAACUGAGACACGGUCCAGACUCCUACGGGAGGCAGCAGUGGGGAAUAUUGGACAAUGGGCGCAAGCCUGAUCCAGCCAUACCGCGUGGGUGAAGAAGGCCUUCGGGUUGUAAAGCCCUUUUGUUGGGAAAGAAAAGCAGCAGGUUAAUACCCCGCUGUUCUGACGGUACCCAAAGAAUAAGCACCGGCUAACUUCGUG
rnacentral:rRNA from 1 species